rnacentral:lncRNA from 1 species
GCCAUGCAGAGGGACCUAUUAAAGUCAUAUUGGUAGGCAAAAAGGCUUAAGAAGCAAUCUUCUAUCUCUAAAGGGAGAGUUAGGGGGACGGUGCCAAGGUGGGGUCGGGCACCGCCACAUACAUAACAUGCUGUUUUAUUAUGUUUGUUAGCAUUAUACCUCAUCCAUUCUAACCACAAAUUAAUGUCAUUGAAUCCAGUUUCAGCGGCCAUGGUAUCUUCAAAAGUGGGGUUAGCGAUGGCCAUCAUAUCUUUAAAGGACUGGAUAUGUGGUUUUAGCGGAUUUGGGACCAUAUGAUCAGCCCCUUGCCACUCUGGAGAGUGGGACAUAUCUCUGAGGUAGAAAUGACCUAAUUUGUUGUAGGAACCUUUCUUCCAAUACAUUCCCAUUACAUAUCGGUCUGCAUCCUCGGGGCCAGGAUGUUCAAUAUUUAACAUUAAUUUCAUAGGGGUACUUCCUCCAGGCUUUCUUAAAGUCAUUCUUUGAAGGAGGGAUCUACCCUGAUUGUCUAUCUUAGAUAAAGCACUUUUGGGUUUAUAACCCCGGGCAGGCCCAGUAUUCCAUCCCGCAGCCCCCCAGUAGUUACAGUCACAACCCCAUUGUUCAUCUACUACACAAACGUAAGGGUCUUUUGCUUGUGGUAUAUCUUUAUAAAUGGCUUGAAUCUGUGACUUAGGGAAUGGGCACUCUACAAUAUCACAGUAAUCAAAAGUGAAUGUAGCCACAUGGGUACAUGAUGAAUUAUACCAGAAGGUGUACCCACUAGCAUCUUUGGUGAUGGCCACCUGCUGGGCUUUAAGGAGGCCAACUAAGGAGAUAAUGUACCAGAGGCACAUGGUUGCAUAGAGUUAGCUUCCUCUGGGGCAGGUGUCUUCUUGCAGUGGGAAGCGUGGAUCCAGUUAGGCCUUCCGGCCAAUUUGACAGAGGUAGGGGAGAUCAGGAGAACUUGGAACGGUCCGUCAAAUCUUGGUUCCAGGGUAUGUUUUCGCACAAAUUUCUUGACCAGAACCCAGUCACCGGGGAGCAGACUGUGGUUGCCUGUGUCAGAAUCAGGAUCUGGAAUUGAAGAGAAAACUUGGGCAUGGAUUUUGUUCAAAGCAUUUGCGAGUUCAGUUACAUAAUCUACUAAAACAUCAGUUUGAAGUUGCAGUUGUUGGGGAAAAUAGCAACCUAGCCUAGGUGCAGUCCCAAAUAGAAUCUCGUAUGGGGACAAUGAGGUAGUAUUUUUGUACAAGAGCAUUCAUUAGAUCUUUUGAUAAAUG